GCAGUUCGUAGUGACCUGGGGAGGAUCAUA
rnacentral:rRNA from 1 species